rnacentral:rRNA from 1 species
GUCUAUGGCCAUGCUACCCUGAACAAGCCCGAUCCCGUCUGAUCUCGGAAGCUAAGCAGGGUUGGGCCUGGUUAGUACUUAAAUGGGAGACCACUUAGGAAGACUAGGUGCUGUGGGAG